GGGACUAACUUUUUGAAGGGGAGGGAUUUUAUAAGUCUGUGUAAGCUGAGAAUAAACGCUCUACCACUUAGAUGUAGGACGGCCAGAGGCAGGCCAAAAGAACGGCUCUGCAGAGCAGGUUGCCAUAACCAGGAAACGCUGAAUCAUGUUCUGCAGCACUGCCCGAGGACGCACGAGAUGAGGAUUAAGAGGCACGAUGCCGUGGUGAACUACAUCGCAAAGUCCCUCAAUGAGCAGGGCGUCGAAGUUGAUUGCGAACCACACUUACAAGGACCAGCAGGUUUACGGAAGCCAGACAUCGUAGCGAAGAAGGAGGAUGUAGUAAUCGUAGUGGAUGCCAUAAUAGCGGCGGAGCAAGCUGAUCUGAAGAGAGUGCAUAAGGAGAAGAGUAAAAAAUAUGAAGACCUGAAGCCGAUCAUCAAGGAGCGAUAUGAAGUGGAGAAGGUGGAGUUUACGUCUGCAACAUUGUCUGCAAGAGGACUUUGGAGUAGAGAUUCUGCAUCGGACCUGCUGCCUGGGUUACACGAUAACCAUUCGGAUCAGGCAUAAUGUCUAUUAGUGAUAUAGAUUAAAAAAAAAAAAAAAAAAAAAAAAGCCAAAUGCCUCGUCAUCUAAUAAGUGACGCGCAUGAAUGGAUUAACGAGAUUCCCACUGUCCCUAUCUACCAUCUAGCGAAACCACUGCCAAGGGAACGGGCUUGG
rnacentral:ncRNA from 1 species